rnacentral:lncRNA from 1 species
CCAAACUGUUCUUGGAAUGGUUCCCUUUGUUAAAUUCCCCUGAAACUUUUCCUAGGAUCUUCCAAGCUUCUUCAUGGAUUCUUCCUCUUGUUAAAUACCUGUGGAUCUUUUUCUAGGAUCUUUCAAACUGGUCUUGGAAUGGUUCCCUUUGUUAAAUUCCUCUGAAACUUUUCCUAGGAUCUUCCAAGCUUCUUCUUGAAUUGUUCCUCUUGUUAAAUUCCCUGAGAAUGUUUCCUAGGAUCUUUUCUUAGGAUCUUCCAAAUGGUUCCUCUGAUUAAAUUCCCCUAGAAUAUUUCCAAAGAUCUUCAAAAUGUUUUCUCUGAUUCAAUUCCCCAUGAUCUUUUCCUAGGAUCUCCCAAACUGCUCUUGGAAUGGUUCCCCUUGUUAAAUUCACCUGAAACUAUUCCUAGGAUCUUCCAAGCUUCUUCUUGGACAGUUCUUCUUAAAUUCCCCUGGAACUUUUCCUUGGAUCUUUUCUCAGGAUCUUCAAAAUAGUUCCUCUGAAUAAAUUCCCUGAGAAUAUUUCCUAGAAUCUUCUAAAUGAUUCCUCUGAUUAAAUUUCCCUGGAUCUUUUUCUAGAUCUUCCAAACUGCUCUUGGAAAGGUUCCCUUUGUUAAAUUCCUCCGAAACUUUUCCUAGGAUCUUCUUGAGCUUUUUCUUGGAUGGUGGUUCUUGUUAAAUUCCCCUGGAACUUUUCCUAGGAUCUUACAAAUGGUUCCUCUGGUUAAAUUCCCCUAGAACAUUUCCUAAGAUCUUCCAAAGUCUGCUUGGAUGGAUCCAGGGAGAUGAACCUGCUGAGGAGAGGGACCUGAGCCAGCAUUUGGGCAGAAGAAGGGAGGUUGGGAUAUUUCUCCUUCUGGGAGACGCCUGAGGAGAAGCAGAGAUGUCACCCCAUCCCAGUGUCAGAAAAAUCCCAAAAAAAGAGGGAAAAAUCAGCUCCUUCUGCAAAAACCUUUGGAUUUCCUCUGGCUCCUUCCUCUCUCAGGUGUGGGAUCUGAAAAUCUGGGAAUGGGAAAGGAUCUGCAUCUUUCAGAGGUAAAAAAUAUCCCAGGGAGGGUUGGGAAGAGCCAAGAGCAGCCCCAAAUUUUUUAUCCUUUCUCUCCUUUCUCCUUUUCCCUUUCCUUUGAAAAUCCAGGAAUUCCUGAUCCAUGAGGAGUUCCUGACUCGGAUUCAGGAUACUCCUGAUCCUGGGCUUAUUUUUAAACCUCUCCUUAAUCCCUCCCCGCACGUCUGGAACAAAUUGGACAAAGCCAAGCAAAUUGGACACAGAGAGGAAAAGUGCCAGGAAAACUCCAGGAGGGAAAUAAACCCCUGGGAAUUGGGAAAAAAUGGGGGAAA